GUAGGUGGCAAGCGUUGUCCGGAAUUAUUGGGCGUAAAGCGCGCGCAGGCGGUUCUUUAAGUCUGAUGUGAAAGCCCACGGCUCAACCGUGGAGGGUCAUUGGAAACUGGAGAACUUGAGUACAGAAGAGGAAAGCGGAAUUCCACGUGUAGCGGUGAAAUGCGUAGAGAUGUGGAGGAGCACCAGUGGCGAAGGCGGCUUUCUGGUCUGUAACUGACGCUGAGGCGCGAAAGCGUGGGGAGCAAACAGGAUUAGAUACCCUGGUAGUCCACGCCGUAAACGAUGAGUGCUAAGUGUUAGGGGGGUUUUCCGCCCCCCUUAGUGCUGCAGCUAACGCAUUAAGCACUCCGCCCUGGGAGUACGGCCGCAAGGCUG
rnacentral:rRNA from 1 species